CACAUACCCGCUAAACGAUACCAGUGAAAAGAAAUGGUCUAGGGAUUAAAGACCAGGGAACAGAAUACAUCCGUUCAAAUUGACAGAAUACAUCAGAGUACUACAACUAAGCAAGCCAGCCUCACAUGAACAACUCGGACUCCAACAUCCAAUCAAUUAUAGAUCAGCACAUCGAACUGACACACAUCCCAGCUACGGCAGCUACCGCGCUUAGCAGAACAAUCAAACGCAUCCCAGAAACGGUGCAACCUAAACAAAUCUACACGGAAAAAAGCUGCGGGGGAUGGAUACAAUCAUCAAAUCUGACAGACAAAACCAACUCCCUACCUAACAGAUCACAAGAACAACAAAAAGGG
rnacentral:rRNA from 1 species